GUUUGAAUGAUGACUUAAAAUUGUCGGAUACCCCUUCACUCCUUUUAUGAGUGAAAACUAAUAGUCUGACAAAC
ensembl:snoRNA SNORD101 small nucleolar RNA SNORD101